UACGUAGGUGGCAAGCGUUGUCCGGAUUUACUGGGCGUAAAGAGCGCGCAGGCGGUCGUUCAAGUCGCGUGUGAAAGCCCCCCGGCUCAACUGGGGAGGGUCACGCGAUACUGAUCGACUCGAAGGCAGGAGAGGGAAGUGGAAUUCCCGGUGUAGUGGUGAAAUGCGUAGAUAUCGGGAGGAACACCAGUGGCGAAGGCGACUUCCUGGCCUGUUCUUGACGCUGAGGCGCGAAAGCUAGGGGAGCAAACAGGG
rnacentral:rRNA from 1 species